GGGUGUAGCUCAGCGGUACAGUGCUUGCCUACCAUGUGCAGGACCCUGGGUUUGAUCCCCAGCACCACA
rnacentral:tRNA from 1 species